GACUCGACCCCAGGUGCUUUAUUUACCCCAGGGGCCCCCCGGACCACCAGGACCCCGGGCCCCCCCGGACCGCCACCGUCCACGGACGGGUUCGCCUUUGACGGCGCCACCCAGGUGCAUCCAGGUGAUCAUUACGAAGGCAUUUACGGGAUCAAGAGCAAGCAGAAAGGAGAAAGGGGGGAGCCGGGAUCCAAGGGCGAGAAGGGAGAGCCAGGUGGAGGAUUCUACGGCCCCCAAUACGCUGGGGUCCAAGGCGUGCCGGGACCUCCGGGGCCACCAGGGCCGAGGGGAGAAUCCAUCAGGGGACCUCCUGGUCCACAGGGGCCACCAGGGACCCCUGGGGUUGGUUACGCUGGACAACCAGGAUAUCCUGGGCCUCCAGGGCCCCCUGGGCCUCCAGGCCCCGCAUCGUUGCCUGGAGCUUACAGGCCCACACACAGUGAGUCUGGCAGCGUUCCUCCCUUUAAGGCUGUGUUUGUGACGCCAGUCUGGACGCUCCUUACAAGCAAGAGAUAUGCAUGUGUAAUUGUGUUUGCACGUGAAAGGCAGAACUCUUCUAGACGUGUUUCAGAACUGCUAACGCCCCCCUUCAUUUGCCAGGCAUCAGUCUCCCCGGGCCCCCGGGGCCACCCGGCCCCCCCGGAGCUCCGGGGCCCAUUUCUGGGGUGAGUUUUGACCGACUACAGCGGUGCUGCGCGUGCAGCGUGCAAGCGCGUUCCCCAGACUCACAUCCAUCCGCUGGUCCUCACAGGUGCUGG
rnacentral:lncRNA from 1 species